rnacentral:rRNA from 1 species
UUAUAUGAAUAUUUUUUAAUUGAGUUUGAUUUGGAAGAGGAGAGUCUUGCUGUGGUCAAUGUGCCUCCCGGUACAGAGGAACUCCUCAAUCAUCAGAUCAUCCUGGCUGAGGAUGGCGCUAUUGGCUUUGCCGUUUUGUCUUAUCCGCAUUUUCAAAUGUGGCAGAGAAACACGAACAGUCAUGGUGUUGGCACAUGGGUGCCGUGGAAAACCAUUCAAAUGCACACCAUUCUAGGCCUCCCUCCCCAGCUUGAGUUACCGAUAAUGAAAACUAUAUUGUGCUAUGAUGAGGAUACUGAUACAAUUUUUGUGUCUGUGGAUGAGAAUGUAUACAUGGUUCAACUCAAGUCGAUGCAAUCCAAGAGACUUUAUACAACCGAGAGUGUCUAUGGCUUCUAUCCUUUCAAGAGUUUCUAUCCACCAGGUGAUUGC